rnacentral:lncRNA from 1 species
ACAAGUUUCCUAUUUAUCCAUCUGGGACUUUCAAAUCACUAUGAUUCAUUUUAUGAGAAAAAAAUGUGAAAUAUUUUCUAGAGGAAAUACAUAUCUUAAAAUACUUUUACUAAUCAUGUUUUGCUUAAGUUAGAGUAAAUAAGGUAGAAGAAAUUAAUUGCUCCAAAUCUGUUGGUAUUCUAUAAUAAUCAAUUAUGUCUCUAGUAAGUGCUUGUAGGGCAAAACACCUCUGAAAUUCAGUCAUGUCUUAUGUCAAAUGGGUGUAUGAAGGUGGGCACACCCACGUCUUUAGAGCUGAGGAUUUCUAAUGAGACAAUGCUGUGCCCUAGGCAAGUAGCAAUCUUGACAAAGAUAUCUGCUUCAAGAUCUAAGAAAGUCAAGGGUAGGCCUGAGUGGUGUUUGUUAUUUGAGUUGAUCAGUGGAGGUAACUCAUGGGCAGAGCUCUUUUGCUGCCCUUAAAAACAUUUCUGAAAUCCUUGGCUGAAAUUCUACCCCUUUAUUACCAUAAUACUUUUAUAAAUUAUCAUAAGCAGUGUGAAUGAACAUUUGUCCUUUCCCUGGCUGCACAGCAUCUAUUUUGAUGGAAUCCGUACUAUGUAAUUCUUGGAAAUGAUGGAGCCAGAGACUUCCUUUCCCCACUCCCUUAGGGGCAAAGCCAAUUGGAUGUUCCUGCCCAGGACUUUGCAUCUGGGGUUAGUGAAGCCAGUGUGCAGAGACAGCUUUGAAGUGACAGGGAGGUUCAUCUAGUUACAGCAGUGGCAGUCAUGUUCAUUGAGACAUCCCAAACAGACCAUUCCUGCAGUAGGACCUUGGCCUGGUUCCUUCUCCCUAACCUUCCCUGGCCCCUAUCACAUUUCUAGCCUUCAAAUCCAGCCUUCCUGUCCAAUCUGUGAGCCAUCCUAUACCUUUGCAACAAAUUCCUUUUCUACUGAAGUUAGCAAAAGUCAGUUUCUGAUGCUGUAACCUAGAUGUGUAUAGUCCUUGGCCAAUUAACUAGAAACCUACCUUUUAGAAGUUACAUUAGAGAGGGUUCUAACUAAUUAGCUUUUCUUAAGUAAAUCUUGCCUUCCUAAGAAUUAUUUUUCUUAAAAAAAAAAAUUGGUGGGGAAUGCUGCAAAGAAGGUAAGCCCUGUACUAUCUUGAUCUGAGUAUUUUGCAUUUGAGCUGCUGCUUCUGGUUUGGAUAGGAAUUUUUUUCCUCCUAUUGGGGCUGUACAUUUCCUUCUCUCUCUCUCUCUCUCUUUUUUUUUUUUUUUUUUUUUUUUGGUAACUGUGUCUUGUUCUUCCCAAGACCAUUUUUUUUUCUCAACUCCUGCCCCUUCCCACAUUCCUACCACUGAAUUCAAAUCCUGACUUUGCCAAUGACAAGGAGUGUAACUUUGAGUAGAUUGCUCAACCUCUAGUCAUGACAGAGUUUCCUCAUUUGUAAGACAGUAGAAAUACUUACCUUAAAGGGCUGUUAGAAUUAAAUGAAGUAAUAUAUGUCAAACAGAACAGCACCUGUAUAUAAUACAUGCUAUGCAAGUAUUUGCUAUUAUCAUUUUGAACACAGACUCUGUGCUACAUAGACUAGCAAAGACUUCUAUGACGGUAGGGCUUAUGGUGGCCUUGUUUAUUUUGAUUUGCUCAAUGACUAGCACAGUGCCUUGCAUUAAAUAGUUGUACAUUAAAUAUUUGUAGCAGGAAUACAGAAUGAGUGAAUGAAUGGUCACCAUUCAUUAAAUAUCAUCAUAAUGGAUAAUAGCAGAAAAGAUACCUAACCCUUAUUAAGAAAUUUCCAUAAACCUCCUGUCCUUAUCUGAAAAAUGAGGGAAAUAAUAGCUUCUUUACAGGACUGUUAUGAGAUUUCAGUGACAAUAAAGUAUGUAAACUACUAUACCAGUGCCCAGCACACUAAGCUCAACAAUCACGGGCUUUUCUCUCUGGACUCAAAAGUUAGUAGGUCUAACUCUUUCCCUGGGUUCCAAUAUUAGGUUCUCAGUUUGGCGUCCUUGGCUGUCCCCUUUAUUAUGGCAUUUGUGACAAGAUGAUCUGUCUUCUCAACCUCCUAUUGUUGUUAUAAAAUCUCUGUGAAAGGCAGCAGCCUCCUCUGCCUUCCAUAUUAACCAGCACUUUCCCUGUCCAGAAGUUAUUCCAUCUUACGGAUAUUGAGAAGAUAAAUGGAAGUGAUUAGAAUGUACUUUCCAAACAUAAAACAUUGUACUGUAGGAGUUUGUCAAAGGGGAUUAAUAUUACCACAUAUCUGUAGAAGAACUUUAUGAAGACCCUGUGUAUCUCUCAACCUUAAUGACUAAGAUUGUAGAUAUGAUAGAAAUCUGUAAAUAGCAUGGAAAAGCAAAUUUAUUGAAGUCUAGGACAACUGCAUUACCCAGCUGUACAUAGUGUGUUCUUUCUUCAGAGAUUGCAAUAAAUGAAAAAGAUGGUUGCCAUAGAGAUAAACUGUGCCCUUUGGCUAGCUGAUUAGAAGACCAUUUCAACCUACUAUAAGAGAAUAUAUUUUGCCUGUAAGUGGUAUUUACAGAUAAUUUCUAUCACAGUUGUAACCCAAGUUUUUAAAGCUGAAAUGUUAAACCUAUAAAUGUUGAAUUCCAUAAAGGCUUUUGUUCCUUUAGUAAAACUUAUUUUAACAUUUAUGUGCUUUUUGCCUUGGAAAAUGUGUUUUUAAAGUUCUUCCCCCUAGGAUACUAUAAAAGUCUUCCUUGAAAGCUACUCUACCAUAUAGUUGGUUUCAUUUUCUUUAAAGCUAAUAUUUUAUUUUUUGAAUCAUUUGUCAGAGG